GGCCCCUAAAGGAGCAGCCACCCCUGGGGGAGGCUCAUCCUUCCAUACAGCUGAGGCGGGGCGCAGAAUGCCAGCGCAUGGCGGCGGCGGCGCACCCCAAUGCUGGGCCUUCCCCGUCUGUACUGCGGUCAGCUGGCGAUCAGGUGGCCGGUUAUGAGUCUGGCUUAGACCUCCCGACUGUCCCUAAGUGCCAGAGGGGACCAAAGGCCAUCCACAUUUUGACUUUAGGCAGAGCCCUGCAGCUUGCUUGCUGGUGCCAGCCCCAGCUCGUGAUGACCAGCCUGGUGUCAGGGCCCAUGGUUGACCAUCCCUGGCUGAGGGGAUCAGAGAGUGAAGAAGAGCAGACCUAUGCAUUGAAUUCCUAAGACAAUGUCAGGGUCUGAAGAGAGGAAUGAAGGCCCAACUGAAAGGGGAAUUUAGACAGGAGCUCAGGAAUAACUGCAAUGUUGGAGGUUGCAGUCACCUAAGCAAGCUAGCUGGACUCCCUCAGCUUCCUCUGUUGUCCAUGAAGGCAGGUUCUCCCAAAGAACGAUCCAGACCGCUAAAUUUUGGAUCUACUUGGAUUUGCCCUCUGGAAGACCUGCUUUUUCUGCAUUAGCUAUAGAGGGGCUGGUGGAGACCUCCUUGGAUAAAGUAGGAGUCCUAGUUGGUUGAGUGUGAAUAAUCCAUCCCCAGGAUUUCUGUGAAUUAUGGGCAGGUGUGACUGCCCGGUGCCCUGAACCUUGCCCAAAGCAAGUCACAAAGGUGACAUGCAGUUGCAGAAGGGACUGUGGGUGCUCCAACUUUAAUAUGUCUCCUGGGCUUUCUUUGAAGAUUUCAUCUGCAACUGCAAAUAAACCCUUGUGUAUCUCUGACGCUUCUAUUUGGAUUAAAAAGCCAAGCGACCUUGUUUUAAAGACUGAACAAAGAGCUCUUGAGGAUACAUGGAGAUGGGUACUCGACACAUACCUGAAUUCAAACCUGGAGUACAGAAAAAGUAAACAAAUUUUAAACAUUUUUUCUGCCUUCACUAUCAAAUUGC